rnacentral:rRNA from 1 species
UACAGAGGCCCCAAGCGUUACUGAGAAUCACUGGGUUUAAAGGGUGCGUAGGUGGUCCGUUAAGUCCGUUGUGAAAGCCCUGGGCUCAACCCAGGAACUGCUUCGGAUACUGGCGGACUUGAGGCUAGUAGAGGUCACUGGAACUGACGGUGGAGCGGUGAAAUGCGUAGAUAUCGUCAGGAACGCCAAUGGUGAAGACAGGUGACUGGGCUAGUUCUGACACUGAGGCACGAAAGCGUGGGGAGCGAACGGG